UACGUAGGGUGCAAGCGUUGUCCGGAAUUAUUGGGCGUAAAGAGCUCGUAGGCGGUCUGUCACGUCGGCUGUGAAAUCCCGAGGCUCAACCUCGGGUCUGCAGUCGAUACGGGCAAACUAGAGUAUUGCAGGGGAGACUGGAAUUCCUGGUGUAGCGGUGAAAUGCGCAGAUAUCAGGAGGAACUCCGGUGGCGAAGGCGGGUCUCUGGGCAAUAACUGACGCUGAGGAGCGAAAGCGUGGGGAGCGAACAGG
rnacentral:rRNA from 1 species